rnacentral:rRNA from 1 species
GGAGAGGGCAAGGCUGGUGCCAGCCGCCGCGGUAAAACCAGCUCUUCAAGUGGUCGGGAUAAUUAUUGGGCUUAAAGUGUCCGUAGCUGGUAAGGUAAGUUCCUGGUAAAAUUGGGCAGCUUAACUGUCCUUAUGCUAGGAAUACUGCUUUACUAGAGGGCGGGAGAGGUCUGAGGUACUACAGGGGUAGGAGUGAAAUCUUAUAAUCCUUGUAGGACCACCAGUGGCGAAGGCGUCAGACUGGAACGCGCCUGACGGUGAGGGACGAAAGCCAGGGGAGCGAACCGGAUUAGAUACCCGGGUAGUCCUGGCCGUAAACGAUGCACACUAGAUGAUGGUGCGGCCAUGAGCCGUAUCAGUGUCGUAGGGAAACCGUUAAGUGUGCCGCCUGGGAAGUACGGUCGCAAGGCUUAAACUUAAAGGAAUUGGCGGGGGAGCACCACAAGGGGCGAAGCCUGCGGUUCAAUUGGACUCAACGCCGGGCAACUUACCAGGGGAGACAGCAGAAUGAAGGUCAGGUUGACGACCUUACCUAACAAGCUGAGAGGAGGUGCAUGGCCGUCGCCAGUUCGUGCUGUGAGGUAUCCUGUUAAGUCAGGCAACGAACGAGACCCGUGCCUUUAUUUGCCAUCAAGAAGUCACGACUUCGUUGGGAACGAUAAAGGGACUGCCGUCGAUAAGACGGAGGAAGGAGCGGGCAAAGGCAGGUCAGUAUGCCCCGAAACCCCUGGGCUACACGCGGGCUGCAAUGGUGCGAACAAAGGGCUGUGACUCCGACAGGAGAAACCAAUCCCGAAAUCGCAUCUCAGUUGGGAUUGUCAACUGUAACCCGUUGACAU